GACGAACGCUGGCGGCGUGCUUAACACAUGCAAGUCGAACGGUGAAGCGCCUUCCUUUUUGGUGGGUGUGGAUGAGUGGCGAACGGGUGAGUAACACGUGAGUAACCUGCCCCCUUCUUCUGGAUAACCGCAUGAAAGUGUGGCUAAUACGGGAUAUUCUGGGUCUGUCGCAUGAUGGGUCUGGGAAAGAUAUUGUUUCGGUGGGGGAUGGGCUCGCGGCCUAUCAGCUUGUUGGUGGGGUGAUGGCCUACCAAGGCGGUGACGGGUAGCCGGCCUGGGAGGGUGGACGGUCACACUGGGACUGAGACACGGCCCAGACUCCGACGGGAGGCAGCAGUGGGGAAUAUUGCACAAUGGGCGCAAGCCUGAUGCAGCGACGCGGCGGGAGGGAUGGAGGCCUUCGGGUUGUGAACCUCUUUCGCCAGUGAAGCAGGCCUGCCUCGUUUGUGGGUGGGUUGACGGUAGCUGGAUAAGAAGCGCCGGCUAACUACGUG
rnacentral:rRNA from 1 species